rnacentral:rRNA from 1 species
CCAGAGAACUUAGCAGAGAUGCUUUGGUGCCUUCGGGAACUCUGAGACAGGUGCUGCAUGGCUGUCGUCAGCUCGUGUUGUGAAAUGUUGGGUUAAGUCCCGCAACGAGCGCAACCCUUAUCCUUUGUUGCCAGCGGCUCGGCCGGGAACUCAAAGGAGACUGCCGGUGAUAAACCGGAGGAGGGUGGGGAUGACGUCAAGUCAUCAUGGCCCUUACGGCCAGGGCUACACACGUGCUACAAUGGCGCAUACAAAGAGAAGCGACCUCGCGAGAGCAAGCGGACCUCAUAAAGUGCGUCGUAGUCCGGAUUGGAGUCUGCAACUCGACUCCAUGAAGUCGGAAUCGCUAGUAAUCGUAGAUCAGAAUGCUACGGUGAAUACGUUCCCGGGCCUUGUACACACCGCCCGUCACACCAUGGGAGUGGGUUGCAAAAGAAGUAGGUAGCUUAACCUUCGGGAGGGCGCUUACCACUUUGUGAUUCAUGACUGGGGUGAAGUCGUAACAAGGUAAGCGUAGCGAG